rnacentral:tRNA from 1 species
GCGCCCGUAGCUCAGUUGGUAGAGCGUCAGCUUCCCAAGCUGAAUGUCGUCGGUUCGAGUCCGAUCGGGCGCUCCA